rnacentral:rRNA from 1 species
UGAGGAAUAUUGGUCAAUGGACGGAAGUCUGAACCNCNCAAGUAGCGUGCAGGACGACGGCCCUAUGGGUUGUAAACUGCUUUUGUAUGGGGAUAAAGUUAGGGACGUGUCCCUAUUUGCAGGUACCAUACGAAUAAGGACCGGCUAAUUCCGUGCCAGCAGCCGCGGUAAUACGGAAGGUCCAGGCGUUAUCCGGAUUUAUUGGGUUUAAAGGGAGCGUAGGCUGGAGAUUAAGUGUGUUGUGAAAUGUAGACGCUCAACGUCUGACUUGCAGCGCAUACUGGUUUCCUUGAGUACGCACAACGUUGGCGGAAUUCGUCGUGUAGCGGUGAAAUGCUUAGAUAUGACGAAGAACUCCGAUUGCGAAGGCAGCUGACGGGAGCGCAACUGACGCUUAAGCUCGAAGGUGCGGGUAUCAAACAGGAUUAGAUACCCUGGUAGUCCGCACAGUAAACGAUGGAUGCCCGCUGUUGGUACCUGGUAUCAGCGGCUAAGCGAAAGCAUUAAGCAUCCCACCUGGGGAGUACGCCGGCAACGGUG